CAGCAGCCACGGUAAUCCGUAGGUCCCGAGCGCUGUCCGGAUUUAUUGGGCGUAAAGGGAGCGCAGGCGGUUUAGUAAGUCUGAAGUUAAAGGCAUUGGCUCAACCAAUGUAUGCUUUGGAAACUGUUAGACUUGAGUGCAGAAGGGGAGAGUGGAAUUCCAUGUGUAGCGGUGAAAUGCGUAGAUAUAUGGAGGAACACCGGUGGCGAAAGCGGCUCUCUGGCUUGUAACUGACGCUGAGGCUCGAAAGCGUGGGGAGCAAACAGGAUUAGAUACCCGUGUAGUCCCUGUCUCUUAUACA
rnacentral:rRNA from 1 species